rnacentral:rRNA from 1 species
GACAGAGGGUGCAAACGUUGUUCGGAAUUACUGGGCGUAAAGCGCGUGUAGGCGGUUAUGCAAGUCGGGUGUGAAAGCCCGGAGCUCAACUCCGGAAGUGCAUUCGAUACUGCGUAGCUAGAGUACUGGAGAGGAUGGUGGAACUCUCGGUGUAGAGGUGAAAUUUCGUAGAUAUCGAGAAGAACACCGGUGGCGAAGGCGGCCAUCUGGACAGAUACUGACGCUGAGACGCGAAAGCGUGGGGAGCAAACAGG